GACGAACGCUGGCGGCGUGCUUAACACAUGCAAGUCGAACGGAAAGGCCCUGCUUUUGUGGGGUGCUCGAGUGGCGAUCGUGUGAGUAACACGUGAGUAACCUGCCCUUUACUUUGGGGUAACUUCAGGUAACUGGGGCUAAGACCGGAUAGGAGCUCCUGCUGCAUGGAGGGGGUUGGAAAGUUUCGGCGGUUGGGGAUGGACUCGCGGCUUAUCAGGUUGUUGGUUGGGUAGUGGCUUACCAAGGCUUUGACGGGUAGCCGGCCUGAGAGGGUGACCGGGGACAAUGGGACUGAGGUAGGGAGCAGAGUGCAAUGGGAGGCAGUAGUCGGAAGCAUGGUACAGCGAGCGGAAGCGUGAUGAAGAAACGUCGCGUGCGGAAUGCCGGUUUUCGGGUUGUGAACAGCUUUCGGCUGAGACGAAGCGUGAGUGACGGUAAUGGGUAAAGAAGCACCGGCUAACUACGUG
rnacentral:rRNA from 1 species